rnacentral:rRNA from 1 species
ACAAGCGGUGGAGCACGUGGUUUAAUUCGAUGCAAACCGAAGAACCUUACCUGGGUUUGACAUGUACGUGGUACGGAUAUGAAAGUUGAAGGACUCCGCUUUCGGGUGGAGAGCGUACACAGGUGCUGCAUGGCUGUCGCCAGCUCGUGUCGUGAGAUGUUGGGUUAAGUCCCGCAACGAGCGCAACCCCUGCAUUCAGUUGCCAUCGGGUGAAGCCGGGCACUCUGGAAGGACUGCCAUCGACAAGAUGGAGGAAGGUGGGGACGACGUCAAGUCAUCAUGGCCCUUAUGUCCAGGGCGACACACGUGCUACAAUGGCCGGCACAACGGGAAGCGAGUUCGCGAGGACGAGCGGAUCCCUUAAAGCCGGUCGCAGUUCGGAUUGAAGUCUGCAACUCGACUUCAUGAAGCUGGAAUCGCUAGUAAUCGCAGAUCAGCCAAGCUGCGGUGAAUACGUUCCCGGGCCUU